rnacentral:rRNA from 1 species
UACAGAGGGGGCAAGCGUUAUUCGGAAUUAUUGGGCGUAAAGGGCGCGUAGGCGGCUUGGCAAGUGGAUGGUGAAAUCCCUCGGCUUAACCGAGGAACUGCCGUCCAAACUGCUUCGCUUGAGACCGGGAGAGGUGAGUGGAAUUCCCAGUGUAGCGGUGAAAUGCGUAGAUAUUGGGAGGAACACCAGUGGCGAAGGCGACUACCUGGCCUGUUCUUGACGCUGAGGCGCGAAAGCUAGGGGAGCAAACGGG